rnacentral:lncRNA from 1 species
CAGAGCCAGUCUUGGUGCUCUGUGUUCACCUGGUUCAUCUGAGGAGCUGCAUCUACCCUGCCCAUGCCAUAGAUCCUGCCCUGUUUGCUUCUCCUGUUGCUGCUAGUGGACAUGAGGACAGAAUAACGGGCUCCCAGAUUCACAAGCCCCACCAAGAGGAUCACCCCAGGAACGCUUGGAGGCUGAGGAGUUCACUGAGGCUACUGCAUCUUGAGACUCAGGAUGAAGACCCAGCUUGGGGCUGUCAAAGGUUUUUUGCAUGUCUGACACCCAUGACUCCACCUGGACCUUAUGGCUCCACCCAGAAGCAAUUCAGCCCAACAGGAGGACAGCUUCAACCCAUUACGAUUUCAUCUCUGCCCCAACCACUCAGCAGCAAGCACCUGUUACCUGUCCACCCCCACCCCUUCCCCCAAACUGCCUUUGAAAAAUCCCUAACCUAUGAGCUUUGAAUAAGAUGAGUACGAACUUCAUCGCCCACGUGGCGUGGCCGGCCUC